rnacentral:rRNA from 1 species
AUGCAGGAGAAAGUAGCCGCUGGUCUCUGGAGUUCAAGGCCGGCCUCCAGUUCGUCCCGCGCCGCCACAUUGCUUGCCUCCUCCCUCCACCCUUCCGGCCUCCUCCUCCCACCGCAGCGGCGGCCGCCGCCUCACCGUUUCAUGUCCAGGCUCCUGCCCCGCAUCACCGCGCUCCCAAGCCGUCGCCGCAGCCACAACCCGGUCCCGCCCGCCCUCGCGGAGUCGCUCGCGCGGGUCCUCGCCACCCGCUCCACCAACCCGGUCUGGGCCCGCUCCCUCGCCGCGCUCCUCCCCUCCCCGCUCUCAGACGGCGGCCUCGCCGACGCCGUCGUCUCGCUGCGCGACCCCGACCUCGCCCUCGCGCUCCUCUCCUGGUCCCGCUCCCACUCCGGCAGCCGUCACCAUGACGCCGACAAACUUCCACCGCCCACGCCUAUCGCGCAUUCCGCCCUCCUCCGCCUCCUCGCCCGCUCCGGCCGCUUCGACGCCGUCGACUCCACGCUCCAGGACAUGUCUCUCUCGGGCGUCGCGCCCACGUCUGCUUGCCUCGGCGAGCUUGUGGCUGCCUACGCCGACGCCGGGAUCGAAAGGAAGGCCACCGAGAUGUGCGAGCGCGUCAGGGCGCAAUAUGGAAUGCUCCCUGCGGCGAUCCACAGCAACUGCCUGCUCAGACUCCUUGUGGAGCGGCGGCAGUGGGACGACGCCCACAAGCUGUAUGACAAAAUGCUUGCUAAGGAAGGUGGCGCGGAUGAUUACAGCACAUGUGUGAUGGUCCGGGGCCUUUGCUUGGAAGGGCGGGUCGAGAAGGGCGUGAAGUUGAUUGAGGCGAGGUGGGGAGCAGGGUGCGUGCCAAAUGCUGUGUUCUAUAAUGUCUUGAUCGAUGGGUAUUGUCGACGCGGCGACAUGGGUAGGGGACUGUUGCUCUUGGGUGAGAUGGAGAUGAAGGGGAUAUUGCCAACUGUGGUAACAUACGGAACUCUUAUGAGCUGGCUCGGGAGGAAGGGUGAUCUUGAGAAGGUUACCUAUUUGCUGUCAGAGAUGCGGGAAAGGAGACUGUCCCCCAACAUCGAGAUUUAUAACAGUGUCAUCGAUGCUUUGUGCAAAUGCCGGUCUGCACCACAGGCAAUGGUAGUCUUGAAGCAGAUUUUUGCAAGUGACUGUGACCCUGAUGCCAUCACUUUUAGUACUUUGAUAUCUGGGCUCUGCCAGGAAGGGCGUGUUCAAGAGGCUGAGCGUCUGUUGAGGGAGGCCAUUAGGAGGGAGGUAAACCCAAAUCUAUUCUGUUAUACUUCAUUGAUUCAUGGCUUCUGCAUUAGAGGACAAGUGAUGGAUGCAUCCAAUUUGCUUAUGGAAAUGAUGGAAAGAGGGUAUACUCCUGAUGUGGUCACAUUUGGAGCCCUGAUUCAUGGUCUUGUUGUUGCUGGGCAAGUCAGUGAGGCAUUGCUUGUCCGGGAGAAGAUGACAGCGAGGCAGCUUCUCCCUGAUGCUAACAUAUAUAAUGUACUGAUUAGUGGCCUAUGCAAGAAACAUAUGCUCCCUGCAGCUAGAAACCUUCUAGCAGAGAUGCUCGAGCAAAAUGUCCACCCUGAUAAAUUUGUUUACACCACAUUGAUUGAUGGGUUCAUUAGGAACGAGAGUCUUGACGAGGCAAGGAAAGUAUUCGAAUUCAUGGAACAAAAGGGUGUCCGCCUUGAUGUUGUUGGCUAUAAUGCUAUGAUAAAAGGAUACUGUCAGUUUGGAAUGCUGGAUGAGGCAAUUGUAUGCAUGAACAACAUGAGAAAGGUGAGGUGUAUCCCAGAUGAGUUUACAUAUUCCACUCUUAUCACUGGCUAUGUUAAACAAGGCAAUAUGGGUGGAGCUCUAAGGUUACUGUGCGAAAUGACGAAAAGGAGAUGCCAACCAAAUGUUGUUACAUACUCAUCAUUAAUAAAUGGAUACUGCAAGCUAGGUGAUACAGAUACUGCAGAAGAUAUAUUCGCAAGCAUGCAACUUGAAGGUCUAUUCCCCAAUGUGAUAACUUAUACCAUUUUAAUUGGUAGCCUGUUUAAAAAAGAUAAAGCGAUGAAAGCUGCUGCAUAUUUCGAACACAUGCUGAUUAAUCAUUGUGCUCCUAGUGAUAUUACGUUGCAUUGUUUAGUUACUGGUCUCACUAACUGUAUGGCUUGUAUCGUCAGUUCAAACUGCAGUGGUACUGUUAAGAUGCAUGACAAGGGUGCUCUUUUAGACAUAUUCAGGGGUUUGGUUAAUGGCAACUGGGAUCCAGGGAAUGCAGCAUACAAUGCUAUUAUCUUCAGCCUAUGCAGACACAAUAUGCUUGGUAACGCAUUGGACAUAAUAAAUAAGAUGGCUAACAAAGGCUACUCACCGGACUCUGUCACUUUCAUUGCACUUCUUUAUGGAUUUUGUUCUGUUGGCAAAUCAAGGGAUUGGAGGAGCAUCCUACCUAAUGAAUUUCGUCAAGAUCAACUUGAGAUAGCCUCUAGGUACAAAAUACUAUUUGAUCAAUAUGUAGCAAAGUCAGUUGGUUGUGAAGUCUCUAGUGCUCUGCGGUUAUAUCUUGAAGAACGUAGAUCCUUAAAACAAAUGGAGCAUAAAUUUACUUGUUCCUGA